CCGAGUUUACCAACUCCCAAACCCCUGUGAACAUACCACUUGUUGCCUCGGCGGAUCAGCCCGCUCCCGGUAAAACGGGACGGCCCGCCAGAGGACCCCUAACUCUGUUCUAUAUGGUAACUUCUGAGUAAAACCAUAAAUAAUCA
rnacentral:misc_RNA from 1 species